GACAAACUGCAGAACCCAGAGGUGUUAGAAUAAGAGAUUAAGGACUGUGGAAGUACAACCGCAACAGGAAAAUAAAUAGCUCAGAGAAAGAGAUGCUGGGUAGGGGUCACGUCGCAAUGUUGCCUCCUGAUUGGAUGGCUUCUUUCCUCUCAUUCCAGAUACAGCCACAGCUGUGGUCAUACGAAUGUGUUGGCAGACUCUAUCAGAGUCUAUGAAAAUAACUCUGCUGGGCCCUACUGAGCAAUCUACAUUCAUAAGUUUAGAAAAGCAGAUAGCCAUAAAGACCAGUUAUACGGCAUUUGCAGGAAGCUGAGCAGCGAAAUCCCAAACUUGGUUUCCCAAUACUGGGAAAAAGGAAGAGCCUAUAGACCCAAGCCCCUUGCCUCCUGGCCAGCUGACUGCCUACCCAGACAUGAAAGAAGAAAUUAGGGAUUCCUGUUGACUUAGGCAGCCUUUGUUGGAAGUAAAGUAAUUGGUCUGAAAACGGAAAUCCUGAUCUGUAGAGUGUGUUCCAAAGUCUAAAUUCCAAAGCAAAGUGGAAUUUAGAACACCCUCCAUCUGUACAGAAACAAGAUGGUGGGUUGCUUCCCAGGCCAGCUCUCACAUGAGUGAACUGAGGAACAGCGUCAUUAGGACGAAUGCCAUGGAAGCCAUUUGCCACCCUGUGUGUUUUGAGAAGAGGACAGAGGAACAGUAAUCUGUUGCUGGUAAACAACCUAGUCUGUUGCUUCUUCCUGCUAAAUAGUAUCCAGAUGGGCAUCCUCUCCGUUGGUUUUCCCUUUCCUUGGCGAUGGUCACCUACACUCUUUACAAUGCAAACCAGGGCUAUAGAGAAGAAAUGUAGUGAUGAACAAUUCAGAAAUUUUUACAUUUUUUGAGUGUAGAAACCCAUGAACAGCCAUUGUUCCUGCCUCAAAACCGACUUGAAGGGGGACCCAGCACUUUCCUUUAACAAAUUCAGGAAAUAGAUUCAAGUUCACAAGGGUUUUUAAAAAAAUGAAUAUUUUACUGAGGAUUCUAUGGAAAGACAAAGAUGAAGAUAAGCCACUUAUCCCUUGCCUUUCCCUCUCGCAAGGUCCCCUUACAACAACUCUACCUUCUUCCCUCUCUCUCUUGUAGCCCCAACAUUGACAUCCCUUUUCAAAUGUAAAGUGACUUGGCUCUCUGGACUCCCCAGUAGGCCUCUUCACUUUCCUCCCACUAACCUGCAAAUAAAGUAUCCUCUUCGGGGAUGUUUCCUUCUUUC
rnacentral:lncRNA from 1 species